rnacentral:sRNA from 1 species
AUUGAUAGUAGAAUCCACUUCUAGGGUUGUUGUGAUAGUUUAUCAAACUGAUGCACAUACAGUUGUCAGCACGGGGUCUGGCACGAGGUCAAGUGCUCAGGAGUGGGUGGUAGCAAAUCGAUGGAUAUGAAGAUACAUAGAUGAGGGAUUGAGUCUGAGUAGGAGUCUUUUUUGGGGCUGGUGUGGUAAGAGUGAUACCCCCUCACUGCUGCCAUCUGGCCCUUGUGAUAGAAUGCACGCUGUACUAGCAUCUCCUGGGAGCUGAGGCAGACCCUGUCAGUUGUAUUUGAUGCCUUCAUCACGGGGCAGGGGAAGAAAGACUGGUCCCUCUUCCGGAUGUUCUCCCGAACCCUCACGGAGCCCUGCCCCCUGGCCUCAGAGAGCCGAGUCUAUGUGGAUAUCACCAACUACAACCAGGUAACAAGGUCUCCAGCCACACACACAAACACACCCCUGGUCCCCAAGACCAGCCUACCCUCUCUGCUUGCUUCUUAGCCCUGCCUUUGUGUCCCCAGGACAACGAGACAUUAGAGGUGCACCCAUCCCCGACCACUACAUAUCAGGACGUCAUCCUAGGCACUCGGAAGACCUAUGCCAUCUAUGACUUGCUUGACAGCGCCAUGAUCAACAACUCUCGAAACCUCAACAUCCAGCUCAAGUGGAAGAGACCCCCAGAGAAUGAGGCCCCCCCAGUACCCUUCCUGCAUGCCCAGCGGUACGUGAGCGGCUAUGGGCUGCAGAAGGGGGAGCUGAGCACACUGCUGUACAACACCCACCCAUACCGGGCCUUCCCGGUGCUGCUGCUGGACACUGUACCCUGGUAUCUGCGGCUGUAUGUGCACACCCUCACCAUCACCUCCAAGGGCAAGGAGAACAAACCAAGUUACAUCCACUACCAGCCUGCCCAGGACCGGCUGCAACCCCACCUCCUGGAGAUGCUGAUUCAGCUGCCGGCCAACUCAGUCACCAAGGUUUCCAUCCAGUUUGAGCGGGCGCUGCUGAAGUGGACCGAGUACACGCCAGAUCCUAACCAUGGCUUCUAUGUCAGCCCAUCUGUCCUCAGCGCCCUUGUGCCCAGCAUGGUAGCAGCCAAGCCAGUGGACUGGGAAGAGAGUCCCCUCUUCAACAGCCUGUUCCCAGUCUCUGAUGGCUCUAACUACUUCGUGCGGCUCUACACAGAGCCGCUGCUGGUGAACCUGCCGACACCGGACUUCAGCAUGCCCUACAACGUGAUCUGCCUCACGUGCACGGUGGUGGCCGUGUGCUACGGCUCCUUCUACAAUCUCCUCACCCGAACCUUCCACAUCGAGGAGCCCCGCACAGGUGGCCUGGCCAAGCGGCUGGCCAACCUUAUCCGGCGCGCCCGAGGUGUCCCCCUACUCUGAUUAUUGCCCUUUCCAGCAGCUGUAGCUGCUGUUCUCUCUGGGGAGGAGAGCACAAGGGCUCUUUCUGCCACUUGCUCUCCUCAGAAUUGGCUUUUGGAACCAAAGUGCCCUGGACCAGGUCAGGGCCUACAGCUGUGCAUCCAGUACAGGAGCCAUGAGCCAAAUAUGGCAUUUGAAUUUGAAUUAACUUA